rnacentral:tRNA from 1 species
UAGCUCAGUUGGUUAGAGCGUCUGAUUGUGGUUCAGAAAGUCGCCGGUUCGAAUCCGGUCU